rnacentral:lncRNA from 1 species
UGCAUUUUCAGAAUCACAUUUAUUAACUCACACAGUUAAUUCACCGGACACAAAUAAGUCGGUAAGCUAUGGCACAAAUAACAUAAUUUAAAGAAUAAGAAUUUCACCUUUUAAAAAAACAGCUUAGUCUUUCAGAUUCCAGUGAACGUGUCGAUGUUAACGUUUAGUCAAGAAGAAAAAAAAACUCCGAAUAAACCAGGUCGCAGAAACAAGUUAAUCGCCGGUCACAACAAGCGUAGUUGACAACAAAGGCGCCCUGUGGCGUUUACAGGCCGCACGCACGCACGCACGCACGCUCGCACGCACGCUCGCACGCUCGCAGCGGAAGGAGCGCGGCGCGGUAGUCAGGCCAUGUGCUUCAUUGUUUACAAAAACAGAGCUCCGCCGAGAGGAUCCGGUAAGACGCGGGGCGGCUGUCGCUCCCGGCCGCCUUCGCGAACCCGGCUCGGAAUCCGGUGGCGGUCGCGUUGCGUGACGGGGGCGUUGGUGGCGGCGGUGGGGGGUUUAUUACCCGCGGCUGGGCGCCUGGACUUCCGUCGGCCGACGCCCGCCCGCGAUUUAUCCCACGCUUGCUCACGGCGCGGACGCGCUUCGUCCGUGAUUCGCCGCGAAGUUUUGGCGCGUCGGCGAGGUCGCGAUGUGGCUGUUCCGACGGAAGAAAUUACGCACGCAGGGCAGAUGUUCAGCGGGAGCCAAACGCAGGAAGUACUGUCGUCACCGAGGCCGAUAAACAUUUACAUCUUCAACAGAACGAUAAAACAGGAGGGCAGAUCAAAUGAAGACUCCAAAGGAAAUGUUUUAGAACAAAUAUUAUAUUAUAGCAUUCUCCUAUAAAAUGAAUUGAGAAGAAAUCCCAAGAUAUUAAAAUAUUCACAUGUGCAUUUUCUUUUUUUUUAUGUUUUCUAGCUCAUCAACAUGCACAGCUAUACCCCUUAGAAUACUAUAUAUGAUCAAUCCAAAAUGAUUAGCAGUUUUUCUGAAAAGUAUGGUCACUUAUUAAAGCAAUAUCUGUUUUGGGCUCUUGGCUCGAAGGUUUACAUUUUAAUUAAAUUACAAUAACAAAUGACCCUUUUAAACAUGAUAUUAUAUUAGUUGUUAUAUAACCUAAACACACAAAAAAAACAGAUAAUAAAAAAAUCUGCAUCAUUUGCCA